rnacentral:rRNA from 1 species
CAUCCGCGCUAGCGAUAGCUAAUUUCCCCGGAAAGAUAUAAAAGUGUCGAGAAAAAGUUUAAUUUAUAAUAUUAAUUAUUAUAUAGGUGUUCUUUUUUAUUAAUUUUUUUGAGGAUAAGCUCAGAAAAAAGCUAAGAUAUUUUUAGCUAAAAUUACUGUGUGGGCUUAAAAUUGGCCAUCAUAAAAAGUUUGUUAUAAAAUAGUAAUCUUAGUUUAGAAAAUAAGUAUAUUUUAAUCUAAAUCCUUACGGGGGCAAGAGCUUCAAUUAAAAUUAAGUUCUAUGCCUAUGCUAGAAUGAGUAUUAAAACCUAAUUAUAAAAGAAAUAUUAAUUUAUUUUCUUCAAAAAAAAUUCUUAAAAAAAUUAAUUAAUUAGAAGGAAUUCGGCAAGUUUAGUUGCUUCGCCUGUUUAUCAAAAACAUGGCUCUUUGCUCACAUAAAUAUAAAGAGUCGAGCCUGCCCAGUGAAUUUUUAACGGCCGCGGUACUCUGACCGUGCAAAGGUAGCAUAAUCAUUUGCCUUAUAAUUGAAGGCUAGUAUGAAUGGUUUGACGAGAGCAAUACUGUCUCCUUUUUAUUUUCAAGAACUUAACUUUUAGGUGAAGAGGCCUAAAUUCUAUUGAAGGACAAGAAGACCCUGUCGAGCUUAAAAGACAUUAUAGGAGUCUAGUAUAUUUUUAGAUAAAUUUUCUAUCAAGCUUUUUAGUUGGGGCGACUAAGGAACAAAAAAAGCUUCUUUUCAAUAAUAAACAAUCAUGUUUAGAUCCGAUAAUAGCGAUCAAAGAAAUUAGUUACCGCAGGGAUAACAGCAUAAUCUCUCUUAAGAGACCUAAUCGAAAGAGGGGGUUGUGACCUCGAUGUUGGACUAGAAUAUCCUAAAGAUGCAGAAGUCUUUAAGG